UGAAAUGUUCUAGGCAGUGUUCUGACUUACUGAGCCAGGCCCAGUACCAUGUGGCCCGGGCACGCAAACAAGAUGAAGAAGAGCGGGAGCUGCGGGCCAAGCAAGAGCAAGAAAAGGAGCUGUUAAGGCAGAAACUUCUUAAAGAACAGGAAGAGAAACGUCUCAGAGAAAAGGAAGAGCAAAAGAAACUUUUGGAACAGCGGGCCCAGUAUGUGGAGAAGACCAAAAAUAUUCUUAUGUUUACUGGUGAGACUGAAGCAACAAAAGAGAAGAAAAGAGGUGGUGGUGGUGGACGGCGUUCUAAGAAGGGAGGAGAGUUUGAUGAAUUUGUCAAUGAUGACACUGAUGAUGACCUACCUAUAUCCAAAAAGAAGAAGAGAAGAAAGGGUAGUGGCAGUGAACAAGAAGGUGAAGAUGAGGAGGGUGGUGAGAGAAAGAAGAAAAAGAGGAGAAGGUAAUGUCAUCAUUAAUGUGUUUUAAGUAACCUCAUAAAAGUGGUGAAAGACCUUUUACCUUCUGAAUCUUUUGAUGUUUAGAAUUUAUGAACACUUGAUCCAAACAGUGAAGCUUUUUGUGCCCCCACUUCCUACUUUA
rnacentral:sRNA from 1 species